UUCUAUUCAAGAACAUCAAAAACUAACAAAGGAAAUGAGUGAAGUUGUUCUAAUGAUAAUUUUGAGAAAGAACAUGAAUCAAAAGAAGAAAAAUGGGAAAGGUGAAAUAUCACCACAAGGUGAAAUUAAGAAAAAGUCUAAGUGUUUCUUUUGCAAAAAGAAAUGACACAUGAAGAAGAAUUUCUCUAAGUUUAAGUAACAACUUCGAAAGAAAUGUAUAUCAAUCUCGU
rnacentral:lncRNA from 1 species